CGGGGUGAGUAAUGCUUGGGAAUCUAGCUUAUGGAGGGGGAUAACUACGGGAAACUGUAGCUAAUACCGCGUAGUAUCGGAAGAUGAAAGUGUGGGACCCUCGGGCCACAUGCCAUAGGAUGAGCCCAAGUGGGAUUAGGUAGUUGGUGAGGUAAAGGCUCACCAAGCCGACGAUCUCUAGCUGGUCUGAGAGGAUGACCAGCCACACUGGGACUGAGACACGGCCCAG
rnacentral:rRNA from 1 species